GAUGAACGCUGGCGGCGUGCCUAAUACAUGCAAGUCGAGCGAACAGAUGAGGAGCUUGCUCCUCUGACGUUAGCGGCGGACGGGUGAGUAACACGUGGAUAACCUACCUAUAAGACUGGGAUAACUUCGGGAAACCGGAGCUAAUACCGGAUAAUAUAUUGAACCGCAUGGUUCAAUAGUGAAAGACGGUUCUGCUGUCACUUAUAGAUGGAUCCGCGCCGCAUUAGCUAGUUGGUAAGGUAACGGCUUACCAAGGCAACGAUGCGUAGCCGACCUGAGAGGGUGAUCGGCCACACUGGAACUGAGACACGGUCCAGACUCCUACGGGAGGCAGCAGUAGGGAAUCUUCCGCAAGGGGCGAAAGCCUGACGGAGCAACGCCGCGUGAGUGAUGAAGGUCUUCGGAUCGUAAAACUCUGUUAUUAGGGAAGAACAAAUGUGUAAGUAACUAUGCACGUCUUGACGGUACCUAAUCAGAAAGCCACGGCUAACUACG
rnacentral:rRNA from 1 species